AUGCACGCUGGCGGCGUGCCUAAUACAUGCAAGUCGCGCGAACAGAUAAGGAGCUUGCUCCUUUGACGUUAGCGGCGGACGGGUGAGUAACACGUGGGUAACCUACCUAUAAGACUGGAAUAACUCCGGGAAACCGGGGCUAAUGCCGGAUAACAUUUAGAACUGCAUGGUUCUAAAGUGAAAGAUGGUUUUGCUAUCACUUAUAGAUGGACCCGCGCCGUAUUAGCUAGUUGGUAAGGUAACGGCUUACCAAGGCAACGAUACGUAGCCGACCUGAGAGGGUGAUCGGCCACACUGGAACUGAGACACGGUCCAGACUCCUACGGGAGGCAGCAGUAGGGAAUCUUCCGCAAUGGGCGAAAGCCUGACGGAGCAACGCCGCGUGAGUGAUGAAGGUCUUCGGAUCGUAAAACUCUGUUAUUAGGGAAGAACAAAUGUGUAAGUAACUGUGCACGUCUUGACGGUACCUAAUCAGAAAGCCACGGCUAACUACGUG
rnacentral:rRNA from 1 species